rnacentral:lncRNA from 1 species
AUGAGUCUACGCUCAGGAAGAAAUUAUCUAAAAGACUACGCUGCUGAAGAGCUAGACGAGGCAGCCGGUGGUGAACAGCAACCAGACAUCGCCACUCAAUCAGCUACAAUGCAGCAACAGUCUCAGCCAUUCGACACCAAGUCGCAGAAAUCCAGAACAUCGACAAGGCGGUCUCAACGGACAUCCUCAUCAACAGCUUCUGCAGCUGCAAGGGCCUACGCCAAAGCUCAAGCAGCACGAGCUCAACUGGCCUUCGCUGAAAAGGAAGCUAAUGCAAUGAAACAGAGAGCUGAACUGGAUGCUCAUCUACAUGUCCUCCAGUGCCAAAAAGCAAUAGCCGCAGCUGAAGCAGAGGCCUCAGCCUAUGAAGAAGCAGAGAUUCAGAGCGGGGAGCUCUAUGGAGAACUUUGUGAGGAAGUUGAGCCCAUCAGUACAGUGCACCGCACUAACGAAUAUGUUCAACAACAACGUGAGUUACUCUACCCAGACACUCAGCACGACCCAGCACAGCCUCCUAAAGGGAAUGACAAUGAAGUAGAUGUACAAGACAGUACACAAAUAACUAAUCCGUUUAUAACCAACUCUCAGAUGAAACCACCACCUGUAAACAGAGAAAGGAAACAGGAGCAAACAGUGAACACAUGUGUAGUCGACACGUACUGGUCCAACUCCACAAAGCACACCCCCAACCUUAACAACUGCUUACCUGAAGCAAGUGAAACGCAACAGUUUGCAAAAUACCUAAUUCGCAAAGAACUAGUCAGCACAGGUCUUUUGCAAUUUGAUGACAAACCUGAAAACUAUUGGGCAUGGAAAACUUCAUUCAUCAGCGCAACCAAAGACUUAAAUCUGUCUCCAAGAGAGGAAUUAGACUUGCUAACAAAAUGGUUGGGUCCAACAUCAUCCGAACAGGCUAAGCGGAUUCGUGCUGUGCACACCCUCAAUCCUGCUGCAGGUGCGAAGAUGGUCUGGCAACGCCUUGAAGAGUGCUACGGCUCACCUGAGGCUAUUGAGGACGCACUCUUAAAAAAGGUAGAGGACUUUCCUAAACUAACAAAUAAAGACAAUGUUAAGCUGCAAGAACUUAGUGACAUCUUAUUGGAGCUACAGUGUGCUAAACAAGAUGGCGCGCUCCCAGGACUUGCUUACCUGGACACAGCUAGAGGAGUCAGGCAAAUAGUGGAUAAACUUCCCUUCAACCUACAGGAAAGGUGGACUACUGUAGGAACAGAGUACAAGGAGACUCACAGUGUGUCAUUUCCUCCUUUCUCAGUUUUCACACAAUUUGUCCAACGGCAAGCGAAAAUGAGGAAUGACCCAAGCUUUGCUAUGUCCAAGGCCAACACCCAUGUCCCUUCUCUCACAGAAAAACUGAGGUCAUAUAGUCGCAAACCUACUGUGUCAGCACACAAAAUGGACAUUAUGGCAGAGCCCGACCAGAAUAAUCUCAGUCCAAAGAACAUGGAGGAACCGGAUCGUCAGUGCCCAAUCCACAAAAAACCACAUCCACUCAAAAAGUGUAAGCUUUUUAGAGACAAACCCAUUGAAGAAAGACAAGCCUAUCUGAAAGAGCAUCACAUCUGCUACAGAUGCUGUGGGUCUGUCCAACACAUUGCAAAAAACUGUAAAGCAGUGGUUAAGUGUAUCGAGUGUGACAGCCUUAAACACUUAUCUGCAAUGCAUCCUGGUCCUACUCCUGCCCCUAAGAGUACUACACCAGGAAACAACGACAAUGAAGAGCAAACUGAGAGCUCACCUUCAGUCGAGUCGAAGUGCACAGAGGUAUGUGGCCAAAGUGAUAGCCCACGUUCAUGUUCUAAGAUCAGUUUAGUCAAAGUGUAUCCCGCAGGCCAUAAAGAGAGAGCUAUAAAAAUGUAUGCAGUAAUCGAUGAUCAGUCCAACAGGUCACUGGCUAAGUCAGAGUUUUUCAGCCUUUUCAAAAUCAAUGCCAAACCCACUCCAUACACCUUAAAGACUUGCUCUGGCAGAGAACAAACCUCAGGUAGGAGAGCUGUGAACUUCUUCCUCGAGUCCUUAGAUGGAGAAGUCAACAUCCAGCUACCCCCUUUAAUUGAAUGUGACUCUGUUCCAGAUAAUAGAUCUGAAAUACCCUCUCCAGAGAUUGCCCAGCAUCACCCACAUCUUCUUCCAGUCGCAGAUAACAUCCCACCUGUUGACCACCACGCCCCAAUCCUUUUACUCCUAGGACGAGACGUCAUCAGGGUCCAUAAGGUACGUGAGCAAAUCAACGGACCCAGCAAUGCACCAUACGCCCAAAAGCUAGACCUGGGUUGGGUUAUUGUGGGGGAGGUGUGUUUAGGAAAAGCGCACAGUCAGUCAGAGGUCAAUGUCUACAAAACACACACCUUAGAUAAUGGACGUGCAUCCUAUUUUGAGCCUUGCCCAAACACAAUUCAUGUUAAAGAGAAUUAUGGGGUCACUAUGAAUGCAACCUGCAUCACAGACGAUUUGGGACACUCUGUGUUUGUUAGAUCUGAGGGUGAUAACAAACAAGCCAUGUCUAUCGACGACAAAGCAUUCCUGACAAUAAUGGACAAUGAAGUUUAUCAAAACCAAGAGAACAGUUGGGUUGCACCUUUACCCUUUCGCUCACCGAGAAGGAGGCUCCCUGACAACAGAGAACAAGCCCUAAAACGCCUCUGCUCUCUCCGAAAGACUUUGGAAAAGAAACCAGAAACGAAAGAUCACUACAUCCAACUCAUGCAGAAAAUAUUGGAUAACAAUCGAGCUGACCAUGCCACUCGGUUCAUUCCAGCACCAGACCUGCAGAACAGUACCUGGUUCUCAGGUCCACCCUUUCUGUAUUCUGACACACACACAGAACCACACACUGGUCCUUUCACGCUCAUCGAACCUGAAAAAGACAGAGAGAUACGUCCGGGAAUAAAAGUAAUGAAAACUACUGUAUCAGAGCCACAGUUAGGUUCUGAGCGUUUCAAAAAGUACUCAAACUGGACCACACUUUGCAGAGUCAUAGCCAGACUCAUUCAUGUAGUUACAUCCUUUGCUCAAAAGACAAGUGGACAAAGGGGAUGGAAAAGUUUCAGUGAGACACCAAAUGUCCAAGAACUCACCCGAGCCAAAGUAGUCAUCAUUCGAGCUGUCCAACAAGAAGCUUACAAAGGGACACUUGAAAACAUUAAAGAAGGAAAGAAGGACAGUGGCAUAUUUGACGCACUCAAAAAGCUCAAUCCUGUAGUGGACAAAGACAGUCUCUUACGAGUCGGUGGACGUCUUUCCGCUGCCGAUCUCACAGAAAAUGAAAAGCACCCUCUGAUUAUCCCAUCUACCAGCCACAUCGCCAUGCUAAUUGUAAGUCACUAUCAUGAACAAGUAGCUCAUCAAGGAAGACACAUAACUGAAGGAGCUAUCCGUGGUGCUGGGUACUGGAUAAUUGGAGGGAAGCGGCUCGUGUCAUCUGUCAUUCAUAAGUGUGUCACAUGUCGCAAGUUGCGAGGCAAAAUGCAGAUCCAGAAAAUGGCGGACUUGCCCGCAGACCGAGUCACCCCUGAACCACCCUUUACCACUGUAGGCCUAGAUGUGUUUGGGCCAUGGACUAUUGUGACACGUCGUACAAGAGGUGGUUGUUCCCAGAACAAACGGUGGGCUGUGUUAUUCACAUGCAUGUCAACUAGAGCUGUGCAUAUCGAACUGAUAGAGACUAUGUCUGCUGAUAGUUUUAUCAAUGCAUUAAGAAGGCUCUUCUCUAUUCGGGGCCCAGCCAAGUUUCUGCGCUCAGACAGAGGCACCAAUUUUGUGGGCGCUUGUAAGGAAUUAGGGCUAAACUCAGGAAACAAAGCAGUAGGGCAGUACCUGCAAGGGAAAGGGUGUGUUUGGACAUUCAACCCCCCUCAUGCGUCUCACAUGGGAGGCUCGUGGGAGCGCCUUAUAGGGGUCGCCAGGCGCAUUCUGGAUGCAAUGUUGUCACGGACUGAACAAACACGUCUUACUCAUGAAGUGUUGUGCACCUUCAUGGCUGAGGUGAUGGCAGUUAUUAAUGCAAGGCCUCUUGUCCCCAUAUCCACUGACCCUGACAGUCCUGCAGUACUCACUCCAGCAAUGCUACUAACGCAGAAGAUGAGUGCUGUGUCUGCUCCACUCGGGAACUUUUCAUCAGGGCAGUUGUUUGGGAAACAAUGGAAACAUGUUCAACACCUUGCUGAUACCUUUUGGAAAAGGUGGAAAGGAGAAUAUUUGUCCACCUUACAAAGUCGUGCAAAAUGGACAGAGACUAGACCUAAUGUCAAAGAAGGAGAUGUGGUCCUGCUAAAGGACUCCCAAGCCAGCAGGAACGAAUGGCCCAUGGGACUAAUAGUAAAAACAUUCCCCAGCAGCGACAAGAAGGUCCGAAAAGUGGAAGUGCGGACUGUAAAAGAUGGGACUGUUAAAAUGUUUCUCAGACCAGUUUCAGAGAUUGUUGUUUUGCUUUCAGAGACUGAAUGA